AACGAACGCUGGCGGCAGGCCUAACACAUGCAAGUCGAACGCCCCGCAAGGGGAGUGGCGCACGGGUGAGUAACGCGUGGGAAUAUGCCCUUCGGUUCGGAAUAACACAGGGAAACUUGUGCUAGUACCGGAUACGAUCUACGGAUGAAAGAUUUAUCGCCGAGGGAGUAGCCCGCGUAGGAUUAGCUAGUUGGGGAGGUAAUGGCUCACCAAGGCGACGAUCCUUAGCUGGUCUGAGAGGAUGAUCAGCCACACUGGGACUGAGACACGGCCCAGACUCCUACGGGAGGCAGCAGUGGGGAAUAUUGGACAAUGGGCGAAAGCCUGAUCCAGCCAUGCCGCGUGAGUGAUGAAGGCCUUAGGGUUGUAAAGCUCUUUCGCCAGGGAAGAUAAUGACGGUACCUGGAAAAGAAGCCUCGGCUAACUCCGUGCCAGCAGCCGCCGUAA
rnacentral:rRNA from 1 species